GCUUGGGAGUCUGCCCUCGUUGUGGGGAGUAACGAACUAGGAAACGGUUAGCUAAUACCGCAUAAUACUUACGAGUCAAAGGUGGCCGUCUCCUUGGAAGCUAUCGCGACAGGAUGAACCCAAGUGGGAUUAGCUAGUUGGUGAGGUAAUGGCUCACCAAGGCGACGAUCCCUAGCUGGUCUGAGAGGAUGAUCAGCCACACUGGAACUGAGACACGGUCCAGACUCCUACGGGAGGCAGCAGUGGGGAAUAUUGCACAAUGGGCGAAAGCCUGAUGCAGCCAUGCCGCGUGUGUGAAGA
rnacentral:rRNA from 1 species